CCAAAUAAUAUACCAUUCGCCGGGUGCCUAACAAACUUGAAGCUUGAUAUACCAUUCACAUGCCCGUAUCUUUAUUUCUAAUUACAUUUUAAAUGAUAUAACUCUUACAUUAAAAAAUGCAAUAGGGAUCAAAGAAAUUGCAAAUCAUUUCUAGAAAUUUCUUAUUUUAAGCUACGGUUCUUCCCUGUACGGAUACCUUUAUGUCUACCGGUAAACUAGUUACCGCAUUGUCACUGAGCUUUAAGCGGCUUGGAAAAUAUGGUGAAUUCUUCACAACACAUAGGACACUUUUCACAGAAAGUUUCAAGCCAAGGAGCACUUUUCAAUCCAGGACCUGCCCUCUACCACAUUACUAUCCCCAUCUGCUAAAGCGUCAUUUAUUCACCAUGAAAAUAGACACUGAAGAUUUCAAGUCAGUCUUUACAAGAUGAACUUAUACAGCUUAAAACAAUUUUUGAGAAGUAUAAUUAUGAAAUAAGAUUUGCCGGAGGACCAGUAAGGGAUCUAUUGAUGAAUAUUAAACCUCAUGAUU